rnacentral:rRNA from 1 species
GGGCCCGCACAAGCAGCGGAGCGUGUGGUUUAAUUCGAUGUUACACGAAGAACCUUACCAGGGUUUGACAUGCAAGUGGUAGGAAGCCGAAAGGUGACCGACCCUUCGGGGAGCUUGCACAGGUGCUGCAUGGCUGUCGUCAGCUCGUGUCGUGAGAUGUUCGGUUAAGUCCGCUAACGAGCGCAACCCUCGCUGUGUGUUAUAUGUGUCACACGGGACUGCCGGUCUUAAGCCGGAGGAAGGUGGGGAUGAUGUCAAGUCAGCAUGGCCUUUAUAUCCUGGGCUACACACACGCUACAAUGGUCAGCACAAUAGGUAGCCAAGCCGCGAGGUGGAGCCAAUCCUCAAAGCUGGCCUCAGUUCAGAUCGCAGGCUGCAACCCGCCUGCGUGAAGCCGGAGUUGCUAGUAACCGCAGGUCAGCUAUACUGCGGUGAAUACGUUCCCGGGGCUU